rnacentral:rRNA from 1 species
CCCCACUGCUAUCGAGGUGAGACUUAGCCAGGCCAGUCGAACGACUCGGACUAUGGCGAGAAGUGGCAAACUGCUCAGUAACACGUAGCUAACCUACCCUCAGGACGGAGACAGCCCCGGGAAACUGGGGUUAAUCCCUGAUAGGCGUGGAUUCCUGGAAUGGUGUCACGCCGAAACGUUAACACACCAUGUUUGUGUACACGCCUGAGGAUGGGGCUGCGGCCGAUCAGGCAGUUGGUGAGGUAACGGCUCACCAAACCUUUGACCGGUACGGGCCGUGAGAGCGGUAGCCCGGAGAUGGACACUGAGACAAGGGUCCAGGACCUACGGGUCGCAGCCGGUACGAAACCUCCACAAUGCACGCAAGUGCGAUGGGGUUACCUCGAGUGCCGCCUGAAGAAGGCGGCUUUUCCAUUGUGUAAUGAGCCGUGGGAAUAAGGGGGGGGCAAGACUGGUGUCAGCCGCCGCGGUAACACCAGCCCCCCGAGUGGUGGGGAUGUUUAUUUGGCCUAAAACGUCCGUAGCCAGCUAGGUAAAUCUCUCGUUAAAUCCAGCGUCCUAAGCGUUGGGCUGCGAGAGAGACUGCCAAGCUAGAGGGUGGGAGAGGUCAGCGGUAUUUCUGGGGUAGGGGCGAAAUCCAUUGAUCCCAGGAGGACCACCAGUGGCGAAGGCUGCUGACUAGAACACGCCUGACGGUGAGGGACGAAAGCUGGGGUAGCGAAUCGGAUUAGAUACCCGAGUAGUCCCAGCCGUAAACGAUGCAGGCUAGGUGUUGGGUUGGCCACGUGCCGACUCAGUGCCACAGGGAAGCCAUUAAGCCUGCUGCCUGGGGAGUACGGUCGCAAGGCUGAAACUUAAWGGAAUUGGCGGGAGAGCACCACCAGGCGUGAAGCCUGCGGUUU